GAUGAACGCUGGCGGCGUGCCUAAUACAUGCAAGUCGAGCGAACAGACGAGGAGCUUGCUCCUCUGACGUUAGCGGCGGACGGGUGAGUAACACGUGGAUAACCUACCUAUAAGACUGGGAUAACUUCGGGAAACCGGAGCUAAUACCGGAUAAUAUAUUGAACCGCAUGGUUCAAUAGUGAAAGACGGUUUUGCUGUCACUUAUAGAUGGAUCCGCGCCGCAUUAGCUAGUUGGUAAGGUAACGGCUUACCAAGGCGACGAUGCGUAGCCGACCUGAGAGGGUGAUCGGCCACACUGGAACUGAGACACGGUCCAGACUCCUACGGGAGGCAGCAGUAGGGAAUCUUCCGCAAUGGGCGAAAGCCUGACGGAGCAACGCCGCGUGAGUGAUGAAGGUCUUCGGAUCGUAAAACUCUGUUAUUAGGGAAGAACAAAUGUGUAAGUAACUAUGCACGUCUUGACGGUACCUAAUCAGAAAGCCACGGCUACCUACGUG
rnacentral:rRNA from 1 species